rnacentral:sRNA from 2 species
GGGCGGCCUGCGCCGAAUCCGGGCUUCUCCAGGGGAGUUCGGAACCGGGGACCCACCACGUUCCACCGGGGUGAAUCGGGCCGUACACCCAGGCCCGUAGGGCAGCCUUCCGUUCCGCCCGAACCCGACAGCUAACCCGGUAGGCGGUCCACGGAAGGAGAU